rnacentral:rRNA from 1 species
CCUACGGGUGGCAGCAGUGGGGAAUAUUGGACAAUGGGGGGAACCCUGAUCCAGCGACGCCGCGUGAGUGAAGAAGGACUUCGGUAUGUAAAGCUCUAUCAGCAGGGAAGAAAAUGACGGUACCUGUCUACGAAGCCCUGGCUAACUACGUGCCAGCAGCCGCGGUAAUACGGAGGGGGCAAGCGUGAUCCGGAUUUACUGGGUGUAAAGGGAACGUAGACGGUGCAGCAAGUCUGAUGUGAAAGGUCGGGGCCCAACCCCGGGACUGCAUUGGAAACUGGUGGACUGGAGUACAGGAGAGGUAAGCAGAAUUCCAGGUGUAGCGGUGAAAUGCGUAGAUAUUAGGAGGAACACCAGUGGCGAAGGCGGCUUACUGGACUGUAACUGACGUUGAGGCUCGAAAGCGUGGGGAGCAAACAGGAUUAGAUACCCUUGUAGUC